UACGGAGGGUGCAAACGUUGCUCGGAAUCAUUGGGCGUAAAGCGCACGCAGGUGGCUGAGUCAGUCGAUUGUGAAAGCCCUGGGCUUAACCUGGGGAAUUGCAGUCGAUACUACUCAGCUAGAGUAUGGGAGAGGGUAGUGGAAUUCCCGGUGUAGCGGUGAAAUGCGUAGAUAUCGGGAGGAACAUCAGUGGCGAAGGCGGCUACCUGGCCCAAUACUGACACUCAGGUGCGACAGCGUGGGGAGCAAACAGG
rnacentral:rRNA from 1 species